GACGAACCGUGCGAACGUUGUUCGGAAUCACUGGGCUUAAAGCGCGUGUAGGCGGGCCGGCACGUCCGACGCUGAAAUCCCCCGGCUCAACCGGGGAAGUGGCGGGGAUACGACCGGCCUCGAGGGGGGUAGGGGGACCUGGAACUUCCGGUGGAGCGGUGAAAUGCGCAGAUAUCAGGAGGAACACCGGUGGCGAAGGCGGUGGUCUGGGCCGGAACUGACGCUGAAUAGCGAAAGCGUGGGUAGCGAACAGG
rnacentral:rRNA from 1 species